rnacentral:rRNA from 1 species
GUAUCCGUGGCGUACAGGACGAACGGCUGGCGGCGUGCUUAACGCAUGCAAGUCGAACGGAGCACCCUGAAGGAGUUUUCGGACAACGGAUGGGAAUGCUUAGUGGCGGACUGGUGAGUAACGCGUGAGGAACCUGCCUUCCAGAGGGGGACAACAGUUGGAAACGACUGCUAUACCGCAUGAUGCAUUGAAGUCGCAUGGCUUUGAUGUCAAAGAUUUAUCGCUGGAAGAUGGCCUCGCGUCUGAUUAGCUAGUUGGUGAGGUAACGGCCCACCAAGGCGACGAUCAGUAGCCGGACUGAGAGGUUGGCCGGCCACAUUGGGACUGAGAUACGGCCCAGACUCCUACGGGAGGCAGCAGUGGGGAAUAUUGGGCAAUGGACGCAAGUCUGACCCAGCAACGCCGCGUGAAGGAAGAAGGCUUUCGGGUUGUAAACUUCCUUUUAAGGGGGAAGAGUAGAAGACGGUACCCCUUGAAUAAGCCACGGCUAACUACGUG